GACAGUGAAGAUUUUAAACCAUAUGUGUUCCCUCCAUAUUUUGACAUUUAUUUUUAUGUAAUACUCUUGCGACAGUGCAGUACUUUUCUAUUGUGUGAGCCACUCGAGAAUUUAUUGAAGUUUAAUUGUGUCCCCAUACCUAGCAACAACCAACAUCUGUCCAAAAGCAAAAAAUUAAAACAUAAAACCUCUCAUUGAUCGUCCGAUUUGGAUUGCUGUCCUUCACCGUCCUCCUCCGCCUAGGUUUGCCUGGGUUUUGUUUACAGAAAUUGAAAUGGGUUUGUUGGUCAUUGUGUUUCUCUAAUGAUUGCGAGUUUCUCUUAGAUAUAGCGUUUACGAGUAAUUGUGAUUAGAUUUAGGGUUUGUCUGACUUCAUAUUUCGAAUUUUACUUCACUGGGUUGCUGAGAAACUGACGAGGAAGUUUUUGAACUUUUGUGGGCUUUGUUCUUUGAGCACUGUGUAUGUAGUACAUACUAUGUACUGUCUCGAAUUUUAUUUGGAAUUGGGUUUUCAGUUUUGUUAAAUCGUUAAACUGAUGAAGAAUGAGAAGCUUUAUGCAUCUCAGGGAGGACCCAUCAUUUUAUCCCAAGUUGAAGUUUCUAAAGGAGUAAAGGAGAUUAAAUGUUGUCUGUCAAAUAUCUCAGAUUGAAAACGAGUAUGGAAACAUUGGUAAAGCAUAUGGGCCUGCUUCCAAAACCUACAUUAAUUGGGCAGCAAACAUGGCUGUGUCUUUGGAUACAGAGGUGCCCUGGGUCAUGUGCCAGCAAGCAGAUGCUCCUUCUUCAGUGAUCAACACUUGCAAUGGAUUUUACUGUGAUCAAUUCACCCCAAAUUCUAACAGCACACCCAAAAUGUGGACCGAGAAUUGGAGUGGAUGGUAAGGAGCCUUUGGGGACUCCACUCAUUAGCAAGGCCACCCAGUGUGAGGGGACUCUACUCAUUAGCAAAUAUCCACUUUUUAAGAUAUACUGUCUUUUUGGAUUAUGUUGCCUGGGUCCUGAGCCUCCGAAGGAUACAAAUCUCCAUGGAAUAUGGAAGAAAGUUCAACCUUUUGCUUACCAUGGUGGAACCAACUUUGGCCAGUCUAGUGGAGGACCUUUUAUUGCUACAAGUUAUGUCUGAUGCUCCACUCGAUGAGUAUGGCAUGUGGUAUCUCUGUAUUAAUGCUUUACUAUCUAUAUAGAACUCUUCGUCAUUAGCGAGUGUAAAUGAACUGACAUUUUCUGUCAACCUGAUGCUUCGACAUCAAGGGGAUGGGCAAUACUUUAAUCUUGAAAUGUAGUUUUUAUUGUGAGAAGACAUACUUAUUAGAUCAUUAACACUCAAAAUAUAUGCUGCUGCACUUCGGCAGAUUAAUAUAAGUUGCUGUCAGCAUUAAGAAUGCCAUAGAGAAUCAACUUAACAAUUCAUUUAUGUUGUAGGACUUCUUAGGCAGCCAAAAUGGGGUCAUCUAAAAGAUGUGCAUAAAGCGAUAAAGCUUUGUGAAGCUGCAAUGGUGGCCACUGACCCAACAGUUUCUUUUCUUGGUCAAAACAUUGAGGUAGAAUCCUUUACUUUUGUUUGAGAUUGAUUUGUGACUAUCAUAAGAAUAUGUAGCUGAACUUCUUCUUGAGUUCUGGUUUUCAAGAUCCCAGCCUAGGUGAAUGGCUCCAUAUGGCCAUAUAUAUAGUGCGGACUUGGCACUACCUAUUUAGUGUUUACCAGCUCAACAGUGCAAUAGAGCUUACAACUUAGACAAGCUAAAACUUUUAGAAUAUCUGAGAAGUGAUAUCUGGGGAUUCUGAACUUAGAGCUUUCUCAAGAUGUAUUAAUUACCUUUUCAGCUAGUCGUCUUUCUUUCAACAUUUAAAUUUCCUUUCUACAUCAAUUUGGCAGCAUUGAUGUCAAAGAUGGAUAUAAAGAUGAUCUUCACGUGCAAUCACUUGGUCAUGCUUUUCAUGUUUUUGUCAAUGGAAAGCUUGCAGGUGAUCUAUAAAUUAACUACUUUGAAUUACAUAUAUUUGGUUAUACCCAUCUGCCCUUUCUGAGUUUCAAAUUUUAAUUUUAUACAUUUCUUGUAUUUGCUUGGGUUCCUUAGUGUAAAUCUGGUGGCUUCUUUGGUUACAAUUGCAAAUACUCUGGAGAGAUCAUUCCUAAGAUAGGAUUCCUCUGAGGAGUGUUGAGGAAUGACCAUUGCCUUUUCUUAAGUUAGUUUUAAUUAGCAAUUCUUGUAAACUUUGAAAGUUUAAACGAUAAAUCUUCUGCCAACUACAGUGCAACAAAUCUUUAAAAUUGUGCCUCUCAUAGGUCACAAUUAAACUUAGGGUUUGAUCUCUUUCUAACUUAGUGGUCGAAUGGUUAGAUACUUACAAUCCUGAAUUUUCAAAGUUAAGAAACUUCUUGACUACCAACCACCACUGUCACUUGGAAUUGUUUUCGUUGUUUUAUUAUUGGAUUUCUUUUCUAAUUUAAUCA